rnacentral:rRNA from 1 species
UGGGGAAUUUUCCGCAAUGGGCGCAAGCCUGGCGGAGCAACGCCGCGUGAGGGAGGAAGGCCUGUGGGUUGUAAACUUCUUUUCUCUGUGAAGAAGAUCUGACGGUAGCAGAGGAAUCAGCAUCGGCUAACUCCGUGCCAGCAGCCGCGGUAAGACGGAGGAUGCAAGCGUUAUCCGGAAUUAUUGGGCGUAAAGCGUCCGUAGGCGGUUUGUCAAGUCUGCUGUUAAAGACUACAGCUCAACUGUGGGUUGGCGGUGGAUACAGAUGAACUAGAGUGCGGUAGGGGUAGAGGGAAUUCCCAGUGCAGCGGUGAAAUGCGUAGAUAUUGCGAAGAACACCAGUGGCGAAGGCGCUCUACUGGGCCGCAACUGACGCUGAUGGACGAAAGCUAGGGGAGCGAAUGGGAUUAGAUACCCCCGUAGUCC